CAAAGGCCUCAGUCUCACCAUCACCAGCUCCAACCAUCAGUAUGUCCAGCUUGGUGUUGUUUCUCAGAGAGGUUCUCAGGGAGGUCCCUGGAUGGCUACUGUGGGUUGUGGUCUUCCUGCCUGUCACUCUGCUGCUGAUAAAGAUGAUUGUUUACCUGAACUGGAAGCUGAAGGAAGGUCGCAGUUGUAAAUGAGAACGUGUUCUCAACUGGCUUACCUGGUUAAAUAAAGGUGAAAUAAAAAUAAAAUAAAACAUCACACAGGCAGAGAUGACGGGCUGGGGGGAGGAUGUACACCUGAGAAGGGGAACUGUUGAUGGCCCCCUACUGGAUAUUGCCCUGCUGGGUACAGUACAGCCCUCUGAAAACUCACAGGACAUGCAGACACAAUAGUGUUUCUUGGAGAGCACAGUGGAUGGAGAUGCUGAAUAUAAGUACUGAGUACUAUCCACCGCCAGAUCAUGGAUAAAACACCAGCUAAGCCACAGAGUGAAGCAGCAACCUGCAAAGGACUAGAAUAUGGAAUUCCAAAUCACUGUUUACAAACUGUUGGAAUGCAGAGACAAUGUGCAUUUUUUAUUACUAAAAUGAUCGUGUUUAUUGUACCAUCAGUAUUAAAUUCUAAGAAUGCUUCAA